ACGACCCUAGAGGCAUUGCAGGUGUGGCUGUUGUGUCACAUGUGCAUCAGUAGGUGGCCGAGAGGAGAGAGGCUAUGUCUACACUCAGGGUUCUGACCUGUGAGCCUCUGAUUGAUUAGUAGCCUAACACU
ensembl:snoRNA Gm25917 small nucleolar RNA SNORA17